GACAAUAACUUCCUUUGCGUUCCCUUCUCACUUCCGGUCUGCGCUCUGCAUUCUUCGGCUGACUUCGGCCGCUAACGGUCGGAAUGUUCAAAUCGUGCUGGAGCCUGAGGUAAAGAAGAAAGAAACGACAGUAGAGACGGAAUGACGGUGCUGCAGGAACCCGUCCAGGCUGCAGUGUGGCAAGCGCUGAACCACUACGCCUACCUGGAUGCCAUUUUUCUUGCGGAAAGACUGUACGCUGAAGUGAGGUCGGAGGAGGCCCUGUACCUUUUGGCAACAUGUUACUAUCGCUCGGGGAAGCCUUACAAGGCGUACCGGCUGCUGAAGGCUCACAGUUCGUCCACGCCGCAGGUUCGCUUCCUGUUGGCCAAGUGCUGCGUGGAGCUCAGCAAGUUGGCUGAAGGUGAGCAGGUUCUGAUUGGUGGCGUGCUCAACAAACAGAAGAGUCAAGAUGACCUCAUCACAGAGUUCGGCGACUCGGCCUCCUUCACGCUGUCGUUGCUGGGACACAUUUACUGCAAGACGGAUCGUGCUGCGAAAGGUGCCGAGUGCUUCCGGAGAAGUUUGUCACUGAACCCGUUCCUGUGGUCGCCUUUUCAGAACCUUUGUCUCCUAGGUGAUAAAGUAGAUGCAGAUCAGGUCUUCAGAUUGUCCUCUUUGCAGCAUUGUUCAGUAGCCCCACUGCCCCCCUCUGUAAGCCCCGCACAGAACUCCUCACAUCGCCUGGACACAGCCUUCAUGGAGACGCCUCAACACACAUUGGAGUUAAAUCGUUUGAAUUUAGAAUCGUCAAACGGGAAGCAGACAUCUGAUUUGUCGCUUUCCUACAUCGACUCCUCCCUCAUCUCCCCGGAGACUGGCUCCCUGUUGGGAAAUCCCGUUUCCCUAGCGUCAGCCGCCUCCUUAUUGGCUAAACAGAACAAGCCCAAGAGUGGGCGGAGUUUACUGGGAGGACCCAAUUCACUCAGUCCGCUCACACCCAGUUUUGGCAUCUUGCCCUUGGAGCCCAGCCCGGGCGACCCAACAUAUCUGCAGAACUACUCAUCCAGCAUGGAAACACAAUCCACUGCUUCAAGCAAGAAGACUGUGUCCAGGAUGAAUCAGUCCAAGACUGUGUUCAGCCAGAGCGGGAAUAGUCGCGAUGUUCUCCCCAUGCCCUUUAACCCUUCUCAGACCUCAGCCCCUCACACCAGUGGUUCCCCUCAGGUGCUCAGUCCCAGCAUGUCUGCUCCUCCCAACAUUCAGCCCAGAAGGAGCUCACGACUCUUCACCAGCGCCAGCUCCACUGCCAAGGAGAACAGUAAGAAGUUAAAGAUGAAGUUCCCCACAAAGAUUCCCAACAGGAAAACCAAAUGUAAAUCGACAAAGACCUCAAACAGCAGCAACCUGAACGAGAGCCUGGAUAUUCUUCGUUUGGAUCCGGCGGGUCUGAGUCUGGCUGACGCCAAGGUGCCGCAGCACCAGAGAGCCGCGGCAGACAAUGUGCUGGCACUGCUUCGGGAACUGGGCCGCGGCUACCAGGCUCUGUGCUCGUACAACUGUCGAGAAGCCAUCGCGAUCCUGACCUCGCUCCCGCCACAGCACUACAACACAGGCUGGGUCCUGACGCACAUCGGCCGCGCCUACUUCGAGCUGGCUGAGUACACGCAGGCGGAGCGUCUGUUCAGCGAGGUGCGCAGGAUGGAGUCUUACCGGGUGGAGGGCAUGGAAAUCUAUUCAACCACCUUGUGGCACCUUCAGAAAGAUGUUGCCCUGUCCGCUUUGUCCAAAGACCUGACGGACAUGGACAAGAACUGUCCCGAGGCCUGGUGUGUCGCAGGAAACUGUUUCAGUCUGCAGAGGGAGCACGACAUUGCUAUUAAAUUCUUUCAGAGAGCCAUCCAGGUGGACCCAGGCUUCGCGUACGCCUACACUCUGCUGGGUCACGAGUUCGUCAUGACGGAGGAGCUGGAGCGAGCGCUCGCUUGCUUCCGCAACGCCAUCAGAGUCAGCAACAGACACUACAACGCAUGGUACGGUCUGGGGAUGAUCUACUUCAAGCAGGAGAAGUUCAACUUGGCAGAAAUCCACUUCAGGAAAGCUCUCAGCAUCAACCCGCAGAGCUCCGUACUGCUCUGCCACGUCGGAGUGGUGCAGCAUGCGCUGAAGAAGUCUGACGCGGCUUUAGAGACAUUGAACAAAGCGAUCGGGAUCGACCCAAAGAAUCCUCUCUGCAAGUUCCACAGGGCAUCCAUCCUCUUUGCCAACGACAAAUACAAGGCAGCUCUUCAAGAGCUGGAGGAGUUGAAGCAGAUCGUCCCCAAAGAGUCGCUGGUUUAUUUUCUCAUCGGCAAGAAACUUCCCGUCCAAGACAGGAUGUUGUGAUGACACGAGGAGAAACCGUACCCAGCACCUCCCGACUGGAUAAACGGGCACGAAUCGCUUCAAGACUAUAGCCGAAGCUAACGCCGCUGCCUUAAUAGGGUCAUAUGAGCGGUAGUGGGACCACGUAAUGGCGGCGAGGAACAAGGGCAAGCGACACAUAGUGAAGCUUCAUCGCCAGGUUAUUAUGUCCAAUAAAGUGUGGACAACUAUGUGCUAACGAGGACGUUAUUUAUCAAAAAAAGUGUACAAGAAACUGGGUCAGACUCAUCUGGCACUCAUGAACUUCAGCUGGGCCAUGGAUCUGGACCCCAAAGGAGCAAACAACCAGAUCAAAGAAGCCAUUGAUAAAAGAUACUUGCCUGAGGACGAAG